AUCACACUGGGUGGAUAUAUACACACCUGGCAACCUCGCCUAUUCAGACCGCUGUGGAUGAUGGGAUACGGUCCUGUUUUGUUUUGAUGAGAAAGCUCACCACCUGUUCAGCGAACGUCACUGUAGCAGCAGCGGCACAUUUUCUGCCUGGAAACACCGCGAGCUCACCGGAAAGGUCAUGGAUCCAAGUUCAAGUUCCAGUUCCUCAGAUCACAGCCAGAAGAAUCAAAGUAAGAAGAAUCAAAGCUGUGAAUCAUCUCAGGGAAGUGAAGCACCAGUCACACAGGAGGAUGUGAAUACGGCACGCAGGAGUGAUUCACUGGGAGCAGUGACUGAACUUCCCCAGUGCAAAAUGGGUAGCAAGACGGCGGACGACAUGAGCUUCAUGAUAUCGUGUACAAACUGGUACUAGGGGCAUGUGAUAUGUGAUCACUUCUCUGAGUGCCAAAUUCAGUGUGAGAUCCAUCAGUAAAGAAAAGAAAAUGGAUGAUAACUUGUGGCAUAUGUUGCACUAAUAAACAUGUAGCUUGUAAAUAAGCCUGAGCUUGAGGGACCUUAAAGGAAGCUUAAAGGAAAAAUCCAUCCUGAACAACUUGCAUGUUAACCUUUAUAAUUAAGGAGAUUUUCACUGCUGUGUAAAAUAUAACAAAUGUAAUGUAAUACAAUUCUGAGUUAACUUUACUUUUUUCAUUGACAUAUUGGCAUAUUUUCAUUUUGUCUUCCUACAUUACCCACAAUGCCAUUUGACUACCAGCUGAUAGUGAAGCCAAUGGGAUCUAGUUAAAUUGUAGCAGUGUUUUAGUCCUUUAGACUGUCCAGCUCUCUCGCAUCCUCAUCUCUACACUCUGCUUAAACAGAUAAGGCUCCAAAGCUUCAAAUUAAAUGCUAAUUCCUCCCUCAACACCAUUGUGUUUCUCAUCUCAGAAGUUGCUAACUGGCUGAGCCGAGUCUCUGCGGGAACUCCGCGCAGCUGUGUCGCGUAUCUGCAUUACAUUUUGUGUCCCACGUUUGUUGUCUCCACGACACUGGAUUUCUUAUUAAUAUGACAUUGAAUGUUGAGCUUUUGUUUUUCUCUAACUGAAAAACCUGACUCUUUUUUCAUUUAUGUUUGAAAUCAUUGUAAUUGUUACUUUACCUAGUAAUGGUCAGUGUACCUGUGCUAACAGUCUCUCCCUGUGAUGUCAACGUGGCACACAACCCCUAAAUUCUCACCAGAAUAACGAAAAUACAGCACUGAAAUUGGAGAAUUGAAGAUGGGAAGAAGACCAGAUGAUGUUUUUCCAAUCCUCAUCCGACCCAAUUCAGUGAGCCUCAGAUUCCCAUCUGACAGGAGUGGACCUGAUGUGGUCUUCUGCUGUUGUAGCCUGUCCACCUCAAGGUUCAAUGUGUUGUGCAUUGUGAGAUGCUUUUCUGCUCACCACGGUUGUAAAGAGUGUUUAUUUGAGUAAGCACCCUGCAUGUCCUAUUGAAUUAUCUGCAUGAUUUUAUGCAUUGUGCUGCUGCCAUAUGAUUGGCUGAUGAAUGUGUGAAGUGUACAGGUGUUCCUAUUAAAGUGGCAAGUGAGUGUUUUUAA